AUGAGAGUUUGAUCCUGGCUCAGGACGAACGCUGGCGGCGUGCCUAAUACAUGCAAGUAGAACGCUGAGGUUUGGUGUUUACACUAGACUGAUGAGUUGCGAACGGGUGAGUAACGCGUAGGUAACCUGCCUCAUAGCGGGGGAUAACUAUUGGAAACGAUAGCUAAUACCGCAUAAGAGUAAUUAACACAUGUUAGUUAUUUAAAAGGAGCAAUUGCUUCACUGUGAGAUGGACCUGCGUUGUAUUAGCUAGUUGGUGAGGUAAAGGCUCACCAAGGCGACGAUACAUAGCCGACCUGAGAGGGUGAUCGGCCACACUGGGACUGAGACACGGCCCAGACUCCUACGGGAGGCAGCAGUAGGGAAUCUUCGGCAAUGGACGGAAGUCUGACCGAGCAACGCCGCGUGAGUGAAGAAGGUUUUCGGAUCGUAAAGCUCUGUUGUUAGAGAAGAACGUUGGUAGGAGUGGAAAAUCUACCAAGUGACGGUAACUAACCAGAAAGGGACGGCUAACUACGUGCCAGCAGCCGCGGUAAUACGUAGGUCCCGAGCGUUGUCCGGAUUUAUUGGGCGUAAAGCGAGCGCAGGCGGUUCUUUAAGUCUGAAGUUAAAGGCAGUGGCUUA
rnacentral:rRNA from 1 species